AGCUUCUCUAGCUGGCUGAGAGAAUGUGUGUGUGAGUUCGCCUGCAACAGUCAUUUCCCAUGUUCUAAUGCUCCGUUGGUCAGUGUCAUUGACAUUAGCUUAAAGAUUGCCAGAGUCUCCAAGCAAAACUUCAAGAGCUCUGUGAUCUUCCAACACCUCAGGCGAGUUUUAUGGAAUAGAAGUAGAAAACAGAACCCAGCAGUGCUCCUGACCAUGGAUCCACCAUGUGGAAGGCAAGAGGUCUCCCUGAGCCAAAUUUCCAAGAGGACACAAUGAAGAUUGUUGACAAUUGCCAGGCAAGAAGCACAUGAACUGGGAAGAUCAUGAGUGCAA